rnacentral:rRNA from 1 species
AACGCGAAGAACCUUACCUGGGCUCGAAAUGCAGGAGACCGGGGUAGAAAUAUCCUUUCCCCGCAAGGGGCUGCUGUAUAGGUGCUGCAUGGCUGUCGUCAGCUCGUGUCGUGAGAUGUUGGGUUAAGUCCCGCAACGAGCGCAACCCUUAUCCCCAGUUGCCAUCAUUAAGUUGGGCACUCUGGUGAAACCGCCUCGGAUAACGGGGAGGAAGGUGGGGAUGACGUCAAGUCCUCAUGGCCUUUAUGUCCAGGGCUACACACGUGCUACAAUGGCCGGUACAAACCGUCGCAAACCCGCGAGGGGGAGCUAAUCGGAAAAAGCCGGCCUCAGUUCGGAUCGCAGUCUGCAACUCGACUGCGUGAAGCUGGAAUCGCUAGUAAUCGCGGAUCAGAAUGCCGCGGUGAAUACGUUCCCGGGCCUUGUACACACGCUGUA